GAUGAACGCUGGCGGCGUGCCUAAUACAUGCAAGUCGAGCGAAGCGGGGACGGGUGCGUAACACGUGGAUAACCUCCUAUAAGACUGGGAUAACUUCGGGAAACCGGAGCUAAACCGGAUACUGAUAGUUUGAUCCGCGCUGAAUUGGUUAGUGGGUAAGGUAACGGGUUACCAGGGCAACGAUGCACAGCCGACCUGAGAGGGUGAUCGGCCACACUGGAACUGAGACACGGUCCAGACUCCUACGGGAGGCAGCAGUAGGGAAUCUGCCGCAAUGGGCGAAAGCCUGACGGAGCAACGCCGCGUGAGGGAUGAAGGUCUUCGAAUCGUAAAACUCUGUUAUUAGGGAAGCGGUACCUAAUCAGAAAGCCACGGCUAACUACGUGCCAGCAGCCGCGGUAAUAC
rnacentral:rRNA from 1 species